UAAUCUGAAUAGCUAAGAACAAAAAUAGAGUGAUUUGGAUCGUACCUCCAACCCCGUACAUAAAUCCCCCCAUUAUACCAUAUGUGUAGCUCCAUGCGCCUGAUGAAAGAAGCGUGGCUGGCCAUGUCCAAGCAGAUACUGUACUGGAAGAGAUUAAACCAGAUUUUACACUUCUUGAAGCAGUAGAAAACCUCUCCGAGUUUUGCGUUUGGCCCAUACAAGCUGUCAACA